rnacentral:rRNA from 1 species
UACAGAGGUCCCGAGCGUUGUUCGGAUUCAUUGGGCGUAAAGGGUGCGUAGGCGGCUUCCUAAGUCUGCUGUGAAAGUCCAGGGCUCAACCCUGGGAUGCCGGUGGAUACUGUCGAGCUCGAGUCCGGAAGAGGCGAGUGGAAUUCCUGGUGUAGCGGUGAAAUGCGCAGAUAUCAGGAGGAACACCAAUGGCGAAGGCAGCUCGCUGGGACGUGACUGACGCUGAGACGCGAAAGCGUGGGGAGCAAACAGG